UUUUGUUUGUUUUGUUGUAGCCUGUGGCAGAUAGGAAUAGACUAUUUUGACCAUUGUCCAAUGCUUGGAAGACAGUAUUUGGAACUUUUUCUUGAACGCAUUCCUCUCACGUCUGAAAUCAAGACCCGAAAAGUAUUGGCUAUUGCUGA